rnacentral:lncRNA from 1 species
UUUACCGUAUGGCUUCUGUCCAAGUAGAAGUAAAAAAAAAUAGGAAAAAUAUUUUUACUGAAGCAAGUGGCGAGUAGAACGUAACCUUCAAUUUAUUUAUAUUUUGGUGUUAGAUGCAGUGAAAGUAAAUUUUGUGUUUUUCGUUUUAAAUCGUAAUACCACAAAACACUAAAGAAACAAUACUUGCCCUGGGCGCCGACAACGGGGUGCAAGGGGGUGCAAUUGCACCUUCCUCCCCUGUAAGAAUGUACAGCUGCGGUCAUUGAAUAGUUUAGGAGUGGAAAUACACAAAUUAAUUCUUUGACAAAGUUGUCAA